UACGUAGGGUGCAAGCGUUGUCCGGAAUUACUGGGCGUAAAGCGCACGUAGGCGGUGUUCCAUGUCAGAGGUGAAAGCCUGGGGCUCAACUCCAGAAUUGCCUUUGAAACGGGAACGCUUGAGUCCGAGAGAGGAUGGCGGAAUUCCUAGUGUAGAGGUGAAAUUCGUAGAUAUUAGGAAGAACACCAGUGGCGAAGGCGGCCAUCUGGCUCGGUACUGACGCUCAGGUACGAAAGCGUGGGGAGCAAACAGG
rnacentral:rRNA from 1 species